rnacentral:hammerhead_ribozyme from 1 species
AUGCAGCAGACGAGUCCCAAGUAGGACGAAACGCGCGUCCUGGAU